AUGCAAGUCGAACGUGAAGCCACCUUCGGGUGGUGGAAAGUGGCAGACGGGUGAGUAACGCGUGGGAACGUGCCUUUCGGUUCGGAAUAACCCAGGGAAACUUGGGCUAAUACCGGAUACGCCCUUCGGGGGAAAGAUUCAUCGCCGAAAGAUCGGCCCGCGUCGGAUUAGCUAGUUGGUAGGGUAAUGGCCUACCAAGGCGACGAUCCGUAGCUGGUCUGAGAGGAUGACCAGCCACACUGGGACUGAGACACGGCCCAGACUCCUACGGGAGGCAGCAGUGGGGAAUAUUGGACAAUGGGCGAAAGCCUGAUCCAGCCAUGCCGCGUGGGUGAAGAAGGCCUUAGGGUUGUAAACCCCUUUCAGCGGGGAAGAUAAUGACGGUACCCGCAGAAGAAGCCCCGGCUAACUCCGUGCCAGCAGCCGCGGUAAUACGGAGGGGGCUAGCGUUGUUCGGAAUUACUGGGCGUAAAGCGCGCGUAGGCGGACCUGCAAGUCGGGGGUGAAAGCCCGAGGCUCAACCUCGGAACUGCCUUCGAUACUGCGGGUCUCGAGUCCGGGAGAGGUGAGUGGAAUUCCUAGUGUAGAGGUGAAAUUCGUAGAUAUUAGGAAGAACACCAGUGGCGAAG
rnacentral:rRNA from 1 species